UUUGACACAAAGUCAAAGACUUAUGCGGAUAACCACCGCGUAGCCAGGAGAACUGGCAUUGGACUCCUAUAAGGAGAAAAAAAAUG
rnacentral:ncRNA from 1 species